rnacentral:rRNA from 1 species
UACGUAGGGAGCAAGCGUUGUCCGGAAUCAUUGGGCGUAAAGCGCGCGUAGGUGGCCCCAUAAGUCCGCUGUGAAAGUCAAAGGCUCAACCUUUGAAAGCCGGUGGAUACUGUGGGACUAGAGUACGGAAGAGGCGAGUGGAAUUCCUGGUGUAGCGGUGGAAUGCGCAGAUAUCAGGAGGAACACCAAUAGCGAAGGCAGCUCGCUGGGACGUACUGACACUGAGGCGCGAAAGCGUGGGGGAGCGAACAGG